rnacentral:rRNA from 1 species
UGCGUAGGUGGUCGGUCAAGUUCGGUGUGAAAUCUCCGGGCUCAACUCGGAAAUGGCAUUGAAUACUGUCCGGCUGGAGGGUCGAAGGGGAGACUGGAAUUCUCGGUGUAGCAGUGAAAUGCGUAGAUAUCGAGAGGAACACCAGUGGCGAAGGCGAGUCUCUGGACGACUCCUGACACUGAGGCACGAAAGCUAGGGGAGCAAACA